AUGAACGCUGGCGGCGUGCCUAAUACAUGCAAGUCGAGCGAACAGACGAGGAGCUUGCUCCUCUGACGUUAGCGGCGGACGGGUGAGUAACACGUGGAUAACCUACCUAUAAGACUGGGAUAACUUCGGGAAACCGGAGCUAAUACCGGAUAAUAUAUUGAACCGCAUGGUUCAAUAGUGAAAGACGGUUUUGCUGUCACUUAUAGAUGGAUCCGCGCCGCAUUAGCUAGUUGGUAAGGUAACGGCUUACCAAGGCAACGAUGCGUAGCCGACCUGAGAGGGUGAUCGGCCACACUGGAACUGAGACACGGUCCAGACUCCUACGGGAGGCAGCUGUAGGGAAUCUUCCGCAAUGGGCGAAAGCUUGACGGAGCAACGCCGCGUGAGUGAUGAAGGUCUUCGGAUCGUAAAACUCUGUUAUUAGGGAAGAACAAAUGUGUAAGUAACUAUGCACGUCUUGACGGUACCUAAUCAGAAAGCCACGGCUAACUACGUG
rnacentral:rRNA from 1 species